AAGUCCCGCAAGGGAUAAGUAGAGUGGCAAACGGGUGAGUAACACGUGGGUGACCUGCCUUCGAGUGGGGGAUAACGUCCCGAAAGGGACGCUAAUACCGCAUGACAUCCUGUCUUUGGAAAGACGGAGAUCAAAGCUGGGGAUCGCAAGACCUGGCGCUUGAAGAGGGGCCCGCGCCUGAUUAGCUAGUUGGUGGGGUAACGGCCUACCAAGGCGACGAUCAGUAUCCGGCCUGAGAGGGCGGACGGACACACUGGGACUGAGACACGGCCCAGACUCCUACGGGAGGCAGCAGUGGGGAAUUGUUCGCAAUGGGCGAAAGCCUGACGACGCAACGCCGCGUGGAGGACGAAGAUCUUCGGGUCGUAAACUCCUGUCGAGUGGGAAGAAUGCUUCGGGGGUGAAUAUUCCUCGGAAUUGACGGUACCACUAAAGGAAGCCCCGGCUAACUCCGUGCCAGCAGCCGCGGUAAUACGGGGGGGGCAAGCGUUGUUCGGAAUUACUGGGCGUAAAGGGCUCGUAGGCGGCCAACUAAGUCAGACGUGAAAUCCCCAGGCUUAACCUGGGAACUGCGUCUGAUACUGGAUGGCUUGAAUUCGGGAGAGGGAUGCAGAAUUCCAGGUGUAGCGGUGAAAUGCGUAGAUAUCUGGAGGAAUACCGGUGGCGAAGGCGGCAUCCUGGACCGACAUUGACGCUGAGGAGCGAAAGCUAGGGGAGCAAACGGGAUUAGAUACCCCGGUAGUCCUAGCCCUAAACGAUGAAUGCUUGGUGUGGCGGGUAUCGAUCCCUGCCGUGCCGAAGCUAACGCAUUAAGCAUUCCGCC
rnacentral:rRNA from 1 species